rnacentral:rRNA from 1 species
GUAGGUGGCAAGCGUUGUCCGGGAAUUAUUGGGCGUAAAGCGCGCGCAGGCGGUUCGUUUAAGUCUGAUGUGAAAGCCCACGGCUCAACCGUGGAGGGUCAUUGGAAACUGGAGAACUUGAGUACAGAAGAGGAAAGCGGAAUUCCACGUGUAGCGGUGAAAUGCGUAGAGAUGUGGAGGAACACCAGUGGCGAAGGCGGCUUUCUGGUCUGUAACUGACGCUGAGGCGCGAAAGCGUGGGGAGCAAACAGGAUUAGAUACCCUGGUAGUCCACGCCGUAAACGAUGAGUGCUAAGUGUUAGGGGGUUUCCGCCCCUUAGUGCUGCAGCUAACGCAUUAAGCACUCCGCCUGGGGAGUACGGCCGCAAAGGCUG